GCAGGAGUCGCCCAGCUUGGUCAAAGGCGCUGGGAUGAGGUCCCAGUCCGUAACGGUUCGCAGGUUCAAAUCCUGCCUCCUGCACCA
rnacentral:tRNA from 1 species